rnacentral:rRNA from 1 species
UACGUAGGGUGCAAGCGUUGUCCGGAAUUAUUGGGCGUAAAGCGCACGUAGGCGGCAUUGCAAGUCGGAUGUGAAAUCCCUCGGCUUAACCAAGGAAGUGCAUCCGAAACUGCAGUGCUUGAGUACUUAAGAGGAUCGCGGAAUUCCCGGUGUAGAGGUGAAAUGCGCAGAUAUCAGGAAGAACACCCGUGGCGAAGGCGGCUCUCUGGGACGGUACUGACGCUGAGACGCGAAAGCGUGGGGAGCGAACAGG